rnacentral:rRNA from 1 species
AACACAAUGCAAGUCGAGCGGUAAGGCUCCUUCGGGAGUACACGAGCGGCGAAACGGGGUGAGUAACACGUGAGCAAUCUUGCCCUUUCACAUCGGGAUAAGCACCGGAAAACGGUGUCUAAUACCGAAUACGACCACUUCCGGCAUCGGAUGGUGGUGGAAAGUUCCGGCGGUGAAGGAUGAGCUCGCGGCCUAUCAGCUUGUUGGUGGGGUAACGGCCCACCAAGGCUUCGACGGGUAGCCGGCCUGAGAGGGUGACCGGCCACACUGGGACUGAGACACGGCCCAGACUCCUACGGGAGGCAGCAGUGGGGAAUAUUGGACAAUGGGCGAAAGCCUGAUCCAGCAACGCCGCGUGAGGGAUGACGGCCUUCGGGUUGUAAACCUCUUUCAGCAGGGACGAAGCGCAAGUGACGGUACCUGCAGAAGAAGCACCGGCCAACUACGUGCCAGCAGCCGCGGUAAUACGUAGGGUGCGAGCGUUGUCCGGAAUUAUUGGGCGUAAAGGGCUCGUAGGCGGUCUGUUGCGUCGGGAGUGAAAACUCAGGGCUUAACCCUGAGCCUGCUUCCGAUACGGGCAGACUAGAGGUAUGCAGGGGAGAACGGAAUUCCUGGUGUAGCGGUGAAAUGCGCAGAUAUCAGGAGGAACACCGGUGGCGAAGGCGGUUCUCUGGGCAUUACCUGACGCUGAGGAGCGAAAGUGUGGGGAGCGAACAGGAUUAGAUACCCUGGUAGUCCACACCGUAAACGUUGGGCGCUAGGUGUGGGACUUAUUCCACGAGUUCCGUGCCGCAAGCUAACGCAUUAAGCGCCCGGCCUGGGGAGUACGGAG